UCUAUGUCUUCUUUAAUGUUGUCUUGUAUCUAAUCACAACGUUCUCUAUGUCGACAUAGAGAAAGUUGUGAUUAGAUACAAGACAACAUUAAAGAAGACAUA
rnacentral:pre_miRNA from 1 species